GCCUUCGUGAUGUAGUGGUCAGCACGCUCGACGCGUAACCGAGAGAUCCGUGGUUCGAUUCCCGGAGAAGGCG
rnacentral:tRNA from 1 species